UACGAAGGGGGCUAGCGUUGUUCGGAAUCACUGGGCGUAAAGCGCACGUAGGCGGACUUUCAAGUCAGGGGUGAAAUCCCGGAGCUCAACUUCGGAAUUGCCUUUGAUACUGUUGGUCUCGAGUCCGGAAGAGGUGGGUGGAAUUCCUAGUGUAGAGGUGAAAUUCGUAGAUAUUAGGAAGAACACCGGUGGCGAAGGCGGCCCACUGGUCCGGUACUGACGCUGAGGUGCG
rnacentral:rRNA from 1 species